UACGUAGGGGGCAAGCGUUGUCCGGAUUUAUUGGGCGUAAAGCGCGCGCAGGCGGCCUCGCGCGCCCGACGUGAAAGCCCCCGGCUUAACCGGGGAGGGUCGUUGGGGACGGCGGGGCUUGAGGGCGGGAGAGGUCGGUGGAAUUCCCGGUGUAGUGGUAAAAUGCGUAGAGAUCGGGAGGAACACCUGUGGCGAAGGCGGCCGACUGGGCCGACCCUGACGCUGAGGCGCGAAGGCGUGGGGAGCGAACGGG
rnacentral:rRNA from 1 species